AUUGAACGCUGGCGGCAGGCCUAACACAUGCAAGUCGAGCGGAUGAAGGGAGCUUGCUCCUGGAUUCAGCGGCGGACGGGUGAGUAAUGCCUAGGAAUCUGCCUGGUAGUGGGGGAUAACGUCCGGAAACGGGCGCUAAUACCGCAUACGUCCUGAGGGAGAAAGUGGGGGAUCUUCGGACCUCACGCUAUCAUAUGAGCCUAGGUCGGAUUAGCUAGUUGGUGGGGUAAAGGCCUACCAAGGCGACGAUCCGUAACUGGUCUGAGAGGAUGAUCAGUCACACUGGAACUGAGACACGGUCCAGACUCCUACGGGAGGAAGCAGUGGGGAAUAUUGGACAAUGGGCGAAAGCAUGAUCCAGCAAUGCCGCGUGUGUGAAGAAGGUCUUCGGAUUGUAAAGCACUUUAAGUUGGGAGGAAGGGAAGUAAGUUAAUACCUUGAUGUAUUGACGUUACCAACAGAAUAAGCACCGGCUAACUUCGUG
rnacentral:rRNA from 1 species